ACCUAGCCCAGUGCCACACGUCACCAUCCUACACUGCCACCUUUAUGAACUCUUGUCUAUGAACAUUGCUGGAAGGAAGCCCCGGUCCUUCGAAGUAACUUGGUCACAAAGUAUACCUUGCUCAGCUGAGCGAAUCGGCAUUGAUUGUUCACGCUUGCGACUGCUAGUGCUAGAUUGGCGAGAUAUUUAUACCUCUACGUAUUUGUUAAAACUGACAGUUCCACCUGCCUUUGAAUGGGCUUUCAGUGUGCGAGACUCUUUCGUUGGAGUUGGAGUCUACCAGUCAGCUGCGCUGGAUACUGGCAAUACUAGUGGAAUAAAGUGAUCCCAAACCCUCUCCUCUUCUUCGGAAGUGAUACGUGCUCCUCCGUCAUCUUGGGCAUCUCUCGGGGAUGAGUGGUGAGUACUUAGUAGUACACAUUUAUAACUUGCUCCAUUCAUCGCAUCCUCAUUCUCCCCUCCCGUAUCUGUGUGUUGUUUUUUCUUUACUGCUCCCAAUAAGAUGUCGGACUCGUAACUGAAGGGCCCUGAGUUUGAAUCUCGUCUGGGGCCGGACAUAGUGUUCUUUGGAAAGAUACUUUGUACCACGGGACGACGUGUUCAAAGAAAACAACUGUCAAGGCACCCCGGAAAUAUCAACUUCUCUAACAUCAAUAGCUUGAGCGUCCUUGAAACCUUUUGUUUUGUGUGUUUUGUCAGUUUGCUAGCGCGAUUGAGGGCGCAAAGGGGCUAUCGUGGCACAAGCCGAUCGCGCCCGACUCGUCGCCUCAAAAUCAAACCCGUUUGUUUUCCGGCGACGAGUGGGACGAUCGCCCCCGACCCAACACAGAUCCUAUCCGCAAUGAGCAUCCUGCAUAAUGCUAUCAGGUAUUUGGCAGGUGUCAUGGUAAUUUUAAACUGAUUUCACUUCCUCAACCGUUCUAUAAACAGAGAGUCAGACUCAGGGUUGCGUCCUUAAAGAACAGAUGACGUUCAUAAAGUGAUAUGUCGUUGAAGUUUUGCCUGCGACUUUUGAGAAGACAGCCAACCAAUAAUAGACCAAAACAAAUGGAUCGGAGGGAAACAGAACUUGUUGUUGGGUUGACUGACAAACGUUUGCUGACUGAGAGCACACGCUCACACAAGUGGAAAGAAAAGAAAAAGUCUUUUGGUUUAAAAAAGCAACGACAGUAACUACAAAAACCCAACCUGUUAAAGAAACGCUAUUUGUUAUGGCGCUCACUAUGUAGGCCUACUGUUUCUAACUUGAGCCGUAUUGGUCUGAGUCAGAUUCAUUACCGCUCCUCAUUUUUCUGUUUAAAAAGCCAAACAAAAUCAAACUAACAAAAAA